rnacentral:lncRNA from 1 species
AUGAGGAACUGGGGUUAUUAUGAACCUUCCCUUAAAGGGCAUCUAGGUCUUCAGCUGAUGUCUUCGGUGGUUGAUCGAGAUAUGAAACCUUUCCUAACUAGGCGUGAGAAUCCUAUUAUGCUCGGCGCUAACGGGUUGUACCAUUCUCGGGAUUCUAUCGUUCCAGAAGCACCUUUAUCUCACAUAGAUUAUGUAAACACCAGGUGGGGUUAUUUAUUCGUGUUUUACUAUUAAAAAACAUGCUGAAAACCAGCAAUAUAAUGAUAAAGAUUACAACUUUUUGGCCUUAUCCACCUUUUUCUAAUUUCUUUUUUCAAUUAAGAAUAUCACAGGAUACUAUUAACAUGGAAAGCUAAGAUGUAUAUUAAAUUGGAAAAAUCAGAAAUUGAAGUUGAUACUCUUUAUGCAGUAACUAACAAUAAACAUCAAACGGAUAAACCCCCAGUUCAUAGAUUAUUAUAUUAGUUGAAGUUAUACUCUUUAUGCAGUAACUAACAAUAAACACCAAACGGAUAAACCCCCAGUUCAUAGAUUAUUAUAUUACCAUUAAAAGGAAUGCUGAAACCUAAAAAUGUAAUGAUAAAAAUGCACCUUUUAUGGCAUUCUCUUUUUUUAUUUUUCAUUUUCUAUUAAGAAUAUUUACAACUAAAGAGCAUUGGAAAAAGGGAUUACCCAGAGGACAAAAAGGGAAAUCACAGCUCUAUUUUUGCCGGAGAGAAGCAAAGUUCGCCGAAGAUGGAGAGAGUGUGCCAAACUUGGAUGAAGAAGAAAGAAAGAAUGUGACAUAUACUUGACGUUGGGCCUCACAAGAAAAAUAGUUGCUGGGCCAAAAAUCAACUGGAAGUUGGGCCUAUCAUCCAAGCGGGCAGCAAAUGAGGUUAAAUUAUCAUGGUAUAGCCAGUUUUCACACCGGUCAAUCAAAAAUAGCCAACAUUUACCAAGUUAAUAAGAAAUAGCCAUUAUUUUACUGCAACAGCGACCGGUCCCGUAUAAUAUACGGAAGUUCUUGUGCAAUUAUGUACGAACUCCAGCAUAUUAUGCUGGACCGGUAUACUUUGCUAACCCCGUAUAAUAUACGGGAGGCUGGAACACCAGCGCUCCAAACUUCAGUAUAUUAUACUAGACAUUUAUACUUGCUAGAACUCCCGUAAAAUAUGCGGGAGUUCUAGCAUAAUUAUACUUUAACUCCCAUAAAAUUUCCCGUAAAAUAUGCGGGAGUUCAAGCAUACUUAUGCUGGAACUCCCGUAAAAUUUGCGGGUGUAUAUUUCGGAUGUUGAACAUUAUUUUCGCUCAGAUUUAUCUUUAUAUAAAAAGCGGCUAAAUUUCGAUGACUUUUGAAACUUGGCUAUUUUUCAACGAUCAGUGAGAGGGAAACAGAAGAAAUUUAAAAAUAGCAAGAUUUAGCACUAAUCGUUGAAAAAUAGCCAAGUUUCAAAAGUCAUCGAAAUUUAGCCGCUUUUUAUGUAAAGAUAAAUCUGAGCGAAAACACUGUUCAAUAUCCGGAAAAUACGCUCGUAAAUUUUACGGGAGUUCUAGCAUAAGUAUGCUUGAACUCCCGGAUAUUUUACGAGAGUUCCAUGAUAACUAUGGUGGAACUCCCACAAAUUUUACGGGAGUUCAAGCAUAAUUAUGCUGGAACUCCCGCAUAUUUUUUUUGCGGGAGUUCCAGCAAGUAUAAAUGUCCAGUAUAAUACGAGUUCUAGCAAGUAUAAAUGUCUAGUAUAAUAUACUGAAGUUUGGAGCGCUGGUGUUCCAGCCUCCCGUAUAUUAUACAGAGUUAGCAAAGUAUACCGGUCCAGCAUAAUAUGCUGGAGUUCGUACAUAAUUGCACAAGAACUUCCGUAUAUUAUACGGGACCGGUCGCUGUUGCAGUAAAAUAAUGGCUAUUUCUUAUUAACUUGGUAAAUGCUGGCUAUUUUUGAUUGACCGGUGUGAAAACUGGCUAUACCAUGAUAAUUUAACCUCAUUUGAUGCCCGCUUGGAUGAUAGGCCCAACUUCCAGUUGAUUUUUGGCCCAGCAACUAUUUUUCUUGUGAGGCCCAACGUCAAGUAUAUAUUACAUUCUUUCUUUCUUCUUCAUCCAAGUUUGGCACACUCUCUCCGUCUCCGGCGAACUUUGCUUCUCUCCGGCAAAAAUAGAGCUGUGAUUUCCCUUUUUGUCCUCUGGUGUAAUCCCUUUUUCCAAUGCUCUUUAGUUGUAAAUAUUCUUAAUAGAAAAUGAAAAAUAAAAAAAGUGAAUGCCAUAAAAGGUGCAUUUUUUAUCAUUACAUUUUUAGUUUUCAGCAUUCCUUUUAAUGGUAAUAUAAUAAUCUAUGAACUGGGGGUUUAUCCGUUUGAUGUUUAUUGUUAGUUACUGCAUAAAGAGUAUCAACUUCAAUUUCUGAUUUUUCCAAUUUAAUAUGCAUCUUAGCUUUCCAUGUUAAUAGUAUCCUGUGAUAUUCUUAAUUGAAAAAAGAAAUUAGAAAAAGGUGGAUAAGGCCAAAAAGUUGUAAUCUUUAUCAUUAUAUUGCUGGUUUUCAGCAUGUUUUUUAAUAGUAAAACACGAAUAAAUUACCCCACCUGGUGUUUACAUCAAACCAUACUGAUUUACCAUGGUUAAUUCAUAGAUUACGGUGAGAUGCAUUUUAAUUAACUACUAGCCUCUCUACCCUACCUUGGCAUUCGUACACAUCACACUCCUCAGACCCCACUUGUGAGAUUACAUUUGUUUUUUUUUUUUUUUGUGUUCUUCACUCCUCAGAUCCCACUUGUGGGAUUACAUUUGUUUUUUUUUGUUCUUGUUGUUGUUAUAUAUUAGUUAUGAGCUUGUAUGUGAAGACAUCUAUUAUAUAUUCAUUGGGUGCUGGUUUGGGGUUAUCAUGAUUAGUGUACACUAUCACUGCAUGAUGGAAUAGUCAAUUUUGAUUUGUACUUUUUUUUAUGAUUUUUAGAAAUUAAUUUUGCAUUCUUGUUUACUUUCUAUAUUGGUUACUCUCAAAUCUUCUUAGUUUGAUAAAGAGAAACGGGAAUUAGGCUAUCUAAAGGUGUAAUGUUAAUCAUUUUUAUUGCAAGCGGUCAGUGUG